GCGGUAGUGGUGGAAUUUGGUAGACACGCUAGCUUGAGGUGCUAGUGUCCGAGAGGUCAUGCUGGUUCAAGUCCAGUCUACCGCA
rnacentral:tRNA from 2 species